UUCAAAGCCCUUGUCACAGUCAGCCAGUGGGUGGCACCUGCCAGUGUGAAGCAGCAGCAGAGCUGGACCAGGCCUGUGUGGGCUGAGUUCCUCCUCCUGGGACGACAUGCCCUGGACAGCAGCUCAGUCACCUUCCUGCAUCUUUCCCAGCGUUUCUCAUGCCCACCUGUCUGUGUGCUGAAGGUCUGCACUAACCAGAGGAGAGUUAAAAGGAAUGGGGAGACACAGACAUCCACACAAGUCCCCAAAAAGAAUGGUCACACUAUACUGAGAGAAGAAGUGAAGCAAGCCCAGGCUUUGCCACCAGCACAAAAUCAACAACAAAGACGGAGGCUUGAAGUAGGACCAAACUAUGUGGAAUCCAAGAAGGAGGCUCUGUGGAAGACCGUGGGCCAGAGCAUCAGCCAGAAUCAGACAGAACACGAGAAGAUUUCCUGACCCACAUGUCAGCUGGCUGCAGACUGAUGUGUUGAGGACUGCAGUGGAGCCUACCCUGAGAAGCAAUGGUGGUGACUUGGCCCUGAGAGGUCCUUGUGUGGGGAAUAGAAAGCCUGGAAUGAGAGAGGGCUGUGUGUGGUGAUGGAGUCCCCAGGAAAGCAAGUAUCCACAGCAAGCAAUUAGUGCACUGCUGGGAUCGCCCAGGGAGAAGAGGGAGACUGUCUCCCAAGGGGGGUUAGACCUUCACUGUGGAGCAUUCUGGGACCUUCUACUGUAGAGGAAACAGAAGC